UGAGAGCUGGUGGAUUAAAAUCACGAAUGAAUUUGGAUCAUUAGGAGGAACCAAGAAUUCCGCCCUCAA
rnacentral:tRNA from 3 species